CAUGUUUCCAUCAAACGUACGCUGAUACCACUAUAUAAUGAUGCUCUGUAGCAGUACGGUACUCUUUUAUGGCUGCCCCAAGCAAGUAGAUGCACCAGUUCAAGAACCAAAGUGAUUUACAUGGAUUAGAGCUCCCGUAUCUUGAAGAAACAACUACAUAAAUGGCAGCAACGAACUUAAUCAACCCAGCAUUUGCUACCAUAGCUAUCUUCUUCUUCUUCGACCACAUUACAUAUUUUAAUCUGAUGGCAAAAGAUUAUGUGCACUUUAAGAGCAUCCGGGUAGCAAUUCAGUACAGUUAUACAGUAUAUUGGAGGCUAACUGAACCUAACUUAACUCCAUCUUUUAAGGCGAGGCCAAGCUUAGCUUAUAUUGGAGGCUCAUUAUAGAGGAGGACUGUUGCUCUGGAUAAAUUAGAUUGAACCCCAUUCUCAUCUCGAAAUAGUCCUUGUCUAUGCAUGGCGCCUCUCCCACCACCAGCUUUGGCUCCCUGGCAAGGCAUCACCUGGAAUGAAAAUAUGAUGGUCAAUGAGGUUUAUCUGUGGUAUGGGUUGUGUAACAAGCUUACCCAUGUAGUAUGAAGUUGUGGACGCAUGAGAACCAACAAAAACAAACAUAGAAAACCAACACAAAACAUAUGAUUUGGAGCUUUACUUCUAAGAUUAUUUAUCAAAGUAAGAGGUGAGCAAGCCCUAAAUGUAUGACUAAAAUGUGUUAGUGGACCCCAUGAACCAAUAAAGCCUAACAAGAUGGCAACGGGUACCUGUUACCCGAUCCCCGACGGGUAAUUGCUCAAUUAAGGAACGAGUUUGGGCCACAUUUGGUGCCCACGGGUAAGUAAAUGGCAAAAAAAUCCUUACCCACUGGGUAACGCAGGUACAUGUACGUUCGUCCAUAAGUGAUUACCCAUACUUGUUACCCACUGGUACCCAGUAGUGAAGGCCUGACAUGUGGACCCCGUCUUUUGUUACUCAGUUUUGAGCUAUAUCAUUGUCAUUUGUCUUGCGAUGAACUACGCCAUCUAGGAUCACUCUUGAGAGUUAUGACUUGUGACUUUGUGAGAUGUGAGAAAGUUUUGAUACUUGAUCGUUUGAACCUUGAUACUUGUUAUGAUAAUGAUGUGAUGCAUAAAUUAUGCUAGUAUCAAAUUGAUGGGUGUUUAGUGUUAUGAUGUGAUGGCAUACACUUGUUGUGCAAUUAUUCUAUUGAAUUGAUGGAUAAUAGUGUUACGAUGUGAUGGUAUGCACUUGUGCUGUGCAAUUAUUCUAUUGAAUUAAUGGUCAUUAGUGUUAUGAUGUGAUGGUAUGCAAUUGUGCUAUGCAACUAUGCUAUUGAACUGCAGGAUGUUAUGAUUUUGGAUAAUAAGUUGCUGGUUUGAUAUGUGUGAAUUGCUCCUGGAGGUUGGCAUCAGAAAGGGCGGGUAUACCUGCGGGGAAGAAUUGUCUGUCGGGCGACGAGUAUGGGUGAAAUUCUUCCCCGCGGUGGGUAUGGGGUAAUGGGCAAGCAUGUGCUUUCACGGGCAUGAAAAAAAAGGCUUUACCUGGUCGGGUAAUUACCCAUUGCCAUCUUGAGCCUUAAUGGGCAUGCUCAGAAAGAACUAGAUGACCAUGUGUGAAUGUAGGACUAAAAGGUGUUAGUGGACCUCAAGAGCCAACACAGCCUAAGAGUCGGGGACUAGUAGGUUGGUACCCAGCCUCUUGAUGGCACCAUCGUACCUCAGUGACAGAAGACAUACUCUGAUGCAACUACAGUAGCACUAUCUUCUUGUUAUAACGAUACCACUGCAACAUUGGAAACCACCACCUAUCGGCUACCAGAUAACCAACAAUUGCACAAACAGGUUAACAUGAGAAGGCUUUAAGCUUACCAGGCUACCAGCCAUGCAUUCUACAGCUCUGGUCGGGCUGCGGCUGUUUCUGCUGCUGCUCUCCUUUGGCCUCUCCUGCCGACUCAUGCACCGAGCAAGAGGAGCACUCCCUCCUCCAGUUCCUCACUGGGUUAUCUCAAGAUGCCGGCCUUGCCAUGUCGUGGAGAAACGUCACGGACUGCUGCGAAUGGGAAGGCAUAACCUGCAACAGGAGCGGGGGCGUCACUGAGGUCUCGCUGGCAUCUAAAGGGCUUGAAGGGCGCAUCUCGCCACACCUUGCCGGCCUCACCGGCCUGCUGCGUGUCAACCUUUC
rnacentral:lncRNA from 1 species